rnacentral:rRNA from 1 species
GACGAACGCUGGCGGCGUGCCUAACACAUGCAAGUCGAACGAGGUCCAUGCAGUGGCAACACUGCGGAAGACCUAGUGGCGAACGGGUGAGUACCACGUGAGGAACUUGCCCCGGAGACCGGGAUAACCCUCCGAAAGGAGAGCUAAUACCGGAUGCCCUCACCGAGUCGCAUGGCUUGGUGAGGAAAUGGAUUCCGCUCCGGGAGAGCCUCGCGGCCUAUCAGCUUGUUGGCGGGGUAACGGCCCAACAAGGCAUCGACGGGUAGCUGGUCUGAGAGGACGAUCAGCCACACUGGGACGGAGACACGGCCCAAACUCCUACGGGAGGCAGCAGUGGGGAAUCUUGCGCAAUGGGCGAAAGCCUGACGCAGCCAUGCCGCGUGUAUGAUGAAGGUCUUAGGAUUGUAAAAUACUUUCACCGGUGAAGAUAAUGACUGUAGCCGGAGAAGAAGCCCCGGCUAACUUCGUGCCAGCCGCCGCCGUAACAC